AUAAUAAAGAAAAAUUGAAUACUUAAUAACUGAUCAAGGGAAUGAGGUGAAAAUCCUCAACAGCCCCUUUCUACUGUAUAUGCGGAUGAACUCUCACAAGCCACUUUUCGGGAAGGCGAGAUAGUAAAUGGAUGCAAAGUCAGGAUACCUUGUUCAGGGAUUAAAAAAUA
rnacentral:ncRNA from 2 species